CAAGUAUCACUGCAGAUCCUCUCAAGCUCUGUCUGGUUGGAUAGGGGCUAGACAUGUGCAAUUCAGUUCGGUCCAAAUGGAAAUUCGAAAGAAUUCUGGACAAUCGGAUGCUUCCGAAUUGCUGAAUGUCCGAAAAGUCGAAGUGCCGAAUUUCGGAAGUGCACAACCGAACCGAAUUGCCAAAGUGCUGAAUUUCAGAAGUGCCGAAGUGCUUUGGACUUCUGAAAAGUGGCAAAACGGGUAAGGGUAGGAUUGGGGUUAAGGUUGGGUUAGGAGUAGGUUUAGUGGUAGAGUUGAGUUAGGA